CCCUUAGAUGUUCUGGGCCGCACGCGCGCUACACUGAUGCAUUCAACGAGUUUCUUCCUGGUCCGAGAGGAUGGGUAACCUUUUGAAAGUGCAUCGUGAUAGGGAUAGACUAUUGCAAUUAUUGGUCUUCAACGAGGAAUUCCUAGUAGACGUAGUUCAUCAGACUGCAUCGAUUACGUCCCUGCCCUUUGUACACACCGCCCGUCGCUCCUACCGAUUGAAUGCUCAGGUGAGCCAUUCGGACUUUCAUCAUGCUGGUUUCCAGUUUUGAUGAAGGAAAGUCUUGCGAACCUUAUCAUUUAGAGGAAGGAGAAGUCGUAACA
rnacentral:rRNA from 1 species